UUUACUUGUUCCUUCUUAGGCAUUUUUGAUUGAAAGCACCUAUUUUGCUCCCUAUAUAAUGAAACAAUUUUUGGAUCCCACUGAAGUUGCUCUAUAGCAAAUGACAGUAACCUUGGUCAGCAUGUGAUUAUAGAAUGAAUGCAAGAUUUCUGCAUCAUAUAAUUUGCUUUUGAUGGAGGUAUUCAUUUUUCUUUUUGGCAUUGUAAUGAGCAUGGAAGCAUUUGCAUGGACAGGAGGCUUAAAUUACAAGCCACCACCCAUUCUUCUUCAGUGAGCAGUGGUGUCUUCAAGUUCCAGUCACUGUCCUUCUAAAGGACAGCCAGUCCUGUGGUCAGACUUCUUGUCAGCCAACAUUUCUGUUCAGUAGAAGAUAAGCGUGGGGUGAAUAUGAUAUUUCAGCUACAUUUUAUUGAGCAAGUGGCUAUAUUUAACAAGACUUUGCUCUCUCUGACCAAAAAGCAAACAAGUGCUCUUGUGAACACACAGUGCAGUAAUAGCAAAGAAUUGAGGGCUCUAUCAAGAGGCUGUAAGAGAACAGACUUUUUAAAAUCAUGGUUCAUACACUUGCCACCCAAACCUGUAUCUUCUGCUUGACUGUAGUUAUCUUACAGCUUAGGCACAAGGUAGCCAUGGUAGGCACUGGAAGAUCUAAGCUUGGACACAAAGAUGCUCCCAUUCUAAAGGCAGAAUAUAGUCAUUGCGUUGUACUGUGAUGCUUGUGGGAGGUCAGACCCAAUGAUAAUCCACCCUGCCUGCAGUCCUUAUAGAUUGGUCCAGCAAACAUCUUUGCUUUUAACCUGCAGCAGACAUCCUGUCUCAACUCCUUCUCAGGCCUGUGUACCAGCAAUGUGGAUCAUGUGUGACAAUGUGCUCAGAUGCUCAGCCUCCUGCUGCUGUGUACCAGAUCAAAUUGCUCCUCCCAGUUGCAUGAGGCCUGAGACUCAUCUCUUCUUGAUGCACUUUGGGAGCCAUGGAGAUAUGCCCUGUGUUGGUAAAUGUGAGCUGCACGGGUUACAAUAUGAUAUACAUGGUAGGCAGAGCUGAGCUGAAACAAAAUGCACUGGCUGUCUUCAAGUGUCUAUUCUUGAUUCUGCAGUGAUAAGGUGAUCUCAGGUGUCAUAUCCUAAAAAUUGUGGGGUUUGAUUGUGUCACGUUAAAGGGCACAUUUGGAAAUUGGGGUUUUUUCUACAUGCCUACAAAUAUGGCAGCAAAAACACAUUCCUGACUUCAGACUUCCAGCUUCAUGGAAAUCUUUCCUUUCCCCUCAUGCCCUUGUCUGUGCUACCCAAGGAAGGACAGCGCACUCAGGGACACCCCACGGAUGACACUGGGAUUCUGUAUCAUGGACAGUGGCUCUCUGCCUGGCAGUGAGGCUGAGAGCUACAACACCAAGGCUCCUUUCACCUGCACUCCUCUUUAUCAUCAGCCCCCUUGAAGGGAUACCCCCAUUUUCUCUGCCCAAGUGGCCUCACACAUGGCCAGGCUGAGCCCCAGCACUGCCAGUUCUGGUGGCCAUGGGCAGAAGCAGAGAUGACCUCCUGUGCUAACCAAAGAAGCUGGGCUUUUCUGCAGCCACCAGCUUAAACACAUCCUUGAAAUCUGCAUUUCUAUUUUACUAAAGUCUGGAAUCAUUAGGAAGUUUUUCUUCUGUUUUCUUCAAAGGACGCAAGCUUGACAAAGAAACAUGCACACAAAAUCUGCCUGUUUGAGAAGACAGCUGAUUCAGACAGGUUUUCUUGGCUGAUGCUGCUGGGCUCCAUGGGAUGGCGUCACCCUCACUGGUCAGCAUUACAGGCUGAGCUCAUUUCCACUGCAGAGCCACUCCAGUAGUGUAUCUUUUCCCCAGGACUGUAUAAGGGAUUGAGGAUAUAUUUUGAGAAUAUUGAAAAUUAAAUCCACCAAGAAAUAAAAUAAAAUAAAAUAAA